AGCUUAACAUUUCUCGUUUUCUCGUGGUUAGUUGGAUAACAGAUAAGGCUAUUCCUGCAGGUGUUUCAAUUAGGAUUUUAUUUCUCAUAAUGAUUUGCACUUUUCGUGCCAGAUUUUUGCCUUGUUAAAUCCCAAAAUGCGGUUCAAGAUUUUUGACUGGUUUUUUAUUGUUCGAUUUAUUAGUAAACAUUGAUGGCCUGUUAUUACUUUCCCCAUUCUGCUUUCAAAGAUUUCUCGCGUUUUGAUUUCGGAAAAAAAUACCGCGGUCGUCUAAUGCAUUUUUGCGUUCGUAAUGAGAACAAUAAUACAG